UACGUAGGUGGCGAGCGUUGUCCGGAAUUACUGGGUGUAAAGCGCGCGUAGGCGGGAGGCCAAGUCCGCUGUGAAAUCGCCCGGCUCAACUGGGCGCGGUCGGUGGAAACUGGUCACCUGGAGGACGGUAGAGGCGAGUGGAAUUCCCGGUGUAGUGGUGAAAUGCGUAGAGAUCGGGAGGAACACCAGUGGCGAAGGCGGCUUUCUGGGCAUUUCCUGACGCUGAGGCGCGAAAGCGUGGGGAGCGAACCGG
rnacentral:rRNA from 1 species